UAGAAGUGUCUUUUGCCCCGCCUGGCCCCUGUAAUCCCAGCACUUUGGGAGGCCGUGGCGAGCGACGCCGGCGGAUCACCUGAGGUCAGGAGUUGACGACCAGCCUGGCCAGUAUGGUGAAACCCCGUCUCUACUGAAAAAAAAAAAAAAUUAGCGGGGCAUGGUGGCUCUCGCCUGCAGUCCCAGCUACUCAGGCGGCUGAGGCAGGAGAAUCACUUAAACCUGGGAGGCGCAGGUUGCAGUGAGCCGAGAUGGCGCCACUGCACUCCAGCCUGGGCAACAAGAGCCAGACUGCGUCUCAAAAAAAAAAAAAAGAAAAGAAAAAAGUGCCUUUCACCUCCACCCAUGAUUCUGAGGCCUCUCCAGCCGUGUGGAACCGUUGUACACGCCUACCCAUUUCCUUCUUAUCAGAAGAGUGAAAACACUGCAGAAAACCACCUCUUCUGUUUGUAUUUUACUUCCGGAAACAUAUACAUCCCAUCAACCCUCUCUAUCUUCAGUUUACUGGUGAAUAAAGAAGGACUUAAAGAGACCCAUGAAUGAAGAAGAGAGAAGCAGAGGGAAAGAGAGAAACUGAUUGAAAAGAUGCAGUCAAAACGGACGUUAGGAAAAAGAAGGAGCUAAAAGAGGCCAAAAGGCUAAGGAAGAAGAGAAAGCAUGCAGGAAUGAGACACUUUACUAAAGAAACGCAGUUCCUGAGUUUUUUUCCGAUUCAGAAAGGAAUGGGAUGGAAAGCAAAGGUGGAGGUAUCAUCAGUCUAAUUUUGCGGAAAGGAACUGACUUCUUCCAAGAGGGAGGAGGAGGGGCCCAGAGCAAUGCAUUCUGGGUGCUGGACUGUUCUUCCCAUCAGAUAAACAUGUUCACAGCAAGAACCAGUAGAUGGAGAUGGAGAUGAAAAUGAAACUCACGUUAUUUCCCGGUAUUCUUUGCCUGAAUAUUCUCUGCAGUGGUGCAAAGUGUUAAAUAAAGAGAUCUUGGAGCCAUUCCUCCUCUUUGUGUGUGUGUGUGCGCACACAUGCUUUAUACAGAGAAAAUGCAGUGCAGUAUUGAAGAGCCUUAGGAUUCAAAUCAAAAUCCAAAGUAACUACAGAGAAAAUGCAGUGUUGAAGAGAUUUAGUAUUCAAAUCAAAAUCCACUGGAGGAUUGUAAGCAGAAGCUGCCAGUGCUGGUCCCAGAAGUAACAACCCAGAUCCUGAAGGCAUCUUUCCUGGAAGUUUUCCUAAAAGAUGAUCCAAACACCUAACUAACUAUACUGAUUUAAAACAGCACCAACAAUAUCAACAACAAACCUAAGGCCCAGAGGCACAGUGUUUGGACCAGCCCAGGAUCCCUCACUCACAAGAACUUCUAUCAGACUUAGCUUAUCCCUCAGAAGACUCUGGACACCACCAAAGGUCAUCAGCACAAUCUUGAUGGAUGUCUAAGAAGUAAAGAUUGAUUUUUGCCUAAUGACAAUAAAGUCAUCACUAAGUUAAAUAUCUAUAAAUUAAAUAUAUACUAAAUAUGUAUUAAAUAUAUAUAAAUAUUUAAUUGAAUAUUAAAUGCAUGUAUAUUCUGAGCUUUAUUGUGUUUUUCAUGAAGACACUGUUAAAGACUAGAGCCCCAUACGUUAAAAAAAUGAGUGAGUAAUCUUAUUAUAAGCAUCAUAAUAUGGUCCCUUUUCUUCAUCCUGCUAUACAUAACAAUCUGUUAUACAAUCUCCAUUAUUCUACUAAUGAAGCCUUUUUCAAAUCAUAACUUUGAAAACAUUACCCUCACUUAACAAUUUUUUUUUCUUUGAGAUACAGUCUGUCGCCCAGGCUGGAAUGCAGUGAUGUGAUUGCGGCUCACUUCAAUCUCUGCCUCCCAGGUUCAAGCGAUUCUCCUGUCUCAGCCUCCCCAGUCCUUGGGACUACAGGUAUGCGCCACCAAGCCUGGCUAAUUAUUGUAUUUUUAAGAGACAGGGUUUCACCAUAUUGGUCAGACUGGUCUCCAACUGCUGACCUCAGGUGAUCCGCCCACCUCGGCCUCCCAAAGUGCUGGGAUUACAGGUGUGAGCCACCAUGCCUGGCCCUAACUUAGCAAUUUUUGAAGAAAUCUCAACAGCCUUAAUUCAAAAUCUAUGUAAAUUGUGUGUGCGUGUGUGAAAAAGCUACCAAAUGAUUCUUUUGGAGAUGAGGAAUUGACAGCGAGCUUAGGAAAAAGUCAGUUUUUGUUGUUGUUGUUGUUUUUAAUCAGGAGUCUUCCUCAGUUGAGAUGCUGACAUUCAUGGCCACUUAUUGUCUGGUUGUAAUUCAAAUCCAAUGUCCAGAUUCUACCCAUUAAAGAAGGUAAUAACUGGAAAUAAGUUCAUUAAUAUCAUGUUCCAGUAUCUGCGGGCUCUGGUUGUAUGGGAGAAGGCUGUCUACCAUUUUGCUAUGAAUUCUAAUAACCUAUGCUGGAUAUAUAGUCAUGGGGUAACCCCCAUUAUAAAGCUUCUAGUCUACAAAACCAAGAGAAAGCUUGUCAAAAUAAAUCUUAACUUCUGACCACGGUAGAAGACCUACUACGGGGUAUUAACAGUCAGAACUGCCAAUCACUGCCUGGUCUAAAUGUUUGUAUUAAAAAUUCCAACUCUGGUGGCAUGAACUUUGGAUAAAAUCAUCAUAAGCUGUGUGAGUCCAAAAAAUAUAAACCCAGAAUGAAAUAUAUUUGGGGCUAAAAUGACGUUACUAAUGUCUGAGAUGGGUCUCCCUCUCCCCCUUUGAAACGUGAUGCUUUUAUUAGAUUAUUUCUACUGCCAAAAGACACAGCUACUGUCUGGCUACAUUUUCUGGUUUUCUCUUGAAUUAAAACAAAUAAAUAAAAGAAAAAUGUCUACAUCUUUUAAACAAAGCAAAUGGGAAUAUUUUUAUUAUUUUUUUUCCUGCCAACUGAACAAGUUCUAUACAUUUAGAUAGGUCUCUGGGUCGCAUAAUAUGAUAUGUACUUGUAUGUGCACACAGAAUGUAUAAGAUAAAAUGGGCUCCUUAAAAUAAGCAAGUAUUGCCUAAGGAUAUAUAGACAAAUGGAAAACAGCACUUCGCUAUGUUACAAGGGUUGGCAUGGUGCUGGAAUUGACUGGGAGCUGCAUAAUUUUCAACUUUGCUAUCUACAGGCUCCUGUUCCACCUCUAUGAUUUUUUUACUUCAUCAUUUACCUUUCCGAUCCUUGAUAACAGUCAUUGUUUCUCAGAGCACAAUGAGAAUUUAGAUCACAUUGCUCAUUCUCCUCAUUUUACAGAUAAGGAAAGUGAAGCUUCCAGAAAUUAAAUCAUCAUCACGUACAUAAAGUCAACAUACAUAAUUACAACUAUUUAGUGGCCAACCACAUGCUAGGAACCUCCAUAUUUACAUAUUCAGCAGUAUGUGCCAGAGGCAUCCUCAGCACUUUACUGACCUAACUGCAGGGUCCUUGGAGGUCAUCUUUGUUUUCCAUUUAAAUAAAACUAGGGGGAAAGACAUUUUCCAUGCAGGGGCAAAUCGCCUCCCAAUAAUUCUGCAGAUUCUUAGGGAAAGCAGAGGAGUGGGGAGUGGGUGGUCCUUACAUUUUUGCCUAUUGCCUCUGAGUUUGCCUUUGCUAAUUUCCUGAAAUUUAUUGAAAUUUCCCUUUUAUAUUAGUCCCAUUCUCUUUACUCUGCAUCAGUUCCUACAUACUGUUUAUGUAGGAUCGUUAUUUUCGAUGUUGUAUCAUUUUUUUAGAUUUGUAUAAAAAUGACUAGCAUUUGGGGUUUGCCAUGUGCCAAGUACUCUAAUAGGCACUUAAUAAAAGUUUUGUCUUUCAAAUCUGUCUUUGUGAGCAGGAUGCGGUGACUCACCCUGUAAUCUCAGCACUUUGGGAGGCCGAGGCAGGAAGACUGCUUCAGCCUAGGAGUUCAAGACUAGCGUGGGUGACAUGGUGGGACCCCAUCUCUACAAACAAUAGAAAAAUUAGCCAGACGUGGUGGCACACACCUGUAACCUCAGCUACUCCUGGGCUGGGAGGAUCGCUUGAGUCUGGGAGUUCGAGAUUACAGUGAGCUAUGAUAGCACCACUGCACUCCAUUCUGGGCAACAGAAUGAGACACUGUCUCUAAAAAAAUAAAGUAAAAUAUGUCUAUGUGAUUAGGUGACUGCUCUGAUGACAGAGCUGAAAUAUAAACCUGUGCCUAAUCAAUUCCAAAAUCUGUUCUCUCUCCACUAAGCUAUGUUGCUGCCUAUAUGCUAUUAGUUUUAUAAAGUGGGGUUCUUCAUAAGACAGAAAUUAUAUCAUUUGCCCAUCUCUGUAAGGCAUGAUCUCUCAACUGUGGGAUGUAUCAGGGUUCACUGGCAUUAAUCUCCAUCCCUCUUAUGGCCAAGCAGAACUGUCUCCUCAGAUUCAAGAUACAUUCUGUGUCCUAGAAUAAAUUCCUUUCUCUGAGGCAAGUGAACUACUUUCUAAAGAGAUAAAUGAAUGCAGGCUGUGGUUUUAUUGGCAUAGCUUUUUAGAGGUUUUUGUUUUUGUUUGGUUUGGUUGGUUACCUGCAUUAUACCAAGUAUCCCCAAAGACAUUUCUAAGCACUUAGUUACCUUACAAAUAAGACUGAUUUUAAUGGGAAUGGUCGUGUUGAACUUAGAAUUGCCUGGAAUAAGGAAGGGUUUGCAGUUUAUUCAAUUUCCCAUCUCAUCUCAGGUCUUCCAUUUGGGGAUAAUGUUUGAAUAUCAUUUGGUAUGGGUGGAACCAGCACUAAUGGUAGAUUCCAUUAUGGCUAGACACAUGGAUGCUAACAUAGGUUUGAUUUGAGUCAGACCACAGAGCAAAACCUAAAGCAAUGAUCAUCUGCCAACCCUCAACCCACUGAGGGAUUUGUUGGCUGACUAACACUGUCCUGCUAUGGUCUGGGAGAGAAUGGGACUAACUAUUCCCAAUAAUCCACUUCACAGACCAAAACCUUUCAGUAGAUUUUCUCUCUCUCUUUCUUUCUUCCUUUCCUUCUUUCUUUCUCCUUCCUUCCUUCUUUCUUUUUCUUUUCUUUCUUUCUUUUUCUUUCUUACUUUCUUUCUCUUUCUUUCUUUCUUGCUUGCUUGCUUGCUUUUUCCUUCCUUCCUUCCUUUUCUUCCUGUCUUCCUUUUCUCCUUCCCUCUUUUUCUUCCUUUUCCUCUUUGUCUCUUUCUCACCCUGUUUUUUUCUCUCCCUCUCUCCCUCACCCCUCCUUUCUGUCUCUCUCUCACACAGGCACACAAGAACUCGGGUUUAUUACAAUAUUUAAUACAUUCUAGUUGGCUUAAAGCACUUAUGAAUUACAUGUUUAUUUUGUCUUCUUGACUGAUAUUUCCUCAUGUCUGAGUAUUGUGCCUCUAGGAAGGAAAACUUAUAUUUUUUAAAGGAGAGCUUUUCUCUAAAUCUUGCCAAAAAUAAAGUGGCUUGAAAGAAAAUCACAUAGACGUUUUCCUUCAGAAAAGAGAAUAAUAUUUGAAGACUUUUAUUUGUAAGAAUUCCUAUUUUUAAGCAAUAUCUUUGAGGAAGCAGUAAGACCUGAAUUUGAAUAAGAUCAGAGAAGACAGAUUCAAAUGAUAGUGCCUAGUGUGUAUGCAGUAAUGGUGAAUUCUUCUGUAUUUACUUCUGGCCUUACAGGUAUAAUUAUUCUACCAGUCUUUUGCAAUAAUUUUCUCGUAUCUACUGUAAUUUGAAAUAUGAAUUACAAAUAAUCAUUCUGAACAGAGAUGUCUACUUACAGGCAUGUCUUCUGUACCCCUUCAUUUUCUGUCUGUCAUGUUCUACUACUGACAGGUGCAAAGUGUACCACAGUGACUUCCAUGCCUCCUGGCCACGGUAUGCAAGAGUCACCAACCUAGCAUGCCCAUCACUGCCUUGGAUUUGUUCCUGGUCAACUCUCUUCACCUCCUGAUCCUUGUCUGAAUGCUUUCCUCCCUGCCAAAAGAAUUCACUCUAUCCUCCCUCGUGCAUAUCUCAAUUCUAGUUUAUCACUGUGGUAGAAUUAUUUGCUUAUAGGUCUGUGUGCUUUACAAAGUGUAACCUGAGAUGAGAAAAUGUCAUCUUUACAUUAUCGGCCACCAACCAGCUCAGUGCCUGACAGUGGGAAGGUGCUCAAAGAAUAUGUGUGGUUUGCCUACUAAAUUCCAUGAUCUUAAACUUGUCUUGCAUUAAAUAACCUUUGACUGUCAGGUCCAAACACAAAACCCAUAGUCAUUUUCUAUAGACAUUUGCAGAAAGGAUUUCUCCCCUUCUAAAUUAAAAACCACCUUAAAUUAUAAAAAUUUUAUACAAACAUUUUUGUAUAAAAUUCUGCAUCUCUCAUAGAAGUAUUUGCAGAACACAGAACUUUGCAAAUAGUGAGCAUUGGAUAAAUGGAAGACUACGAGGGUGCUUGUUCUAGGUUAUUUGCCUCAUGGCAAAUGAUAAUUUGGACUUAAUAUGUGGUACACAUUGUUCUAAGAAUUUUGUAACAUUAACUUAUUUAAUCCUCACAACUUGAAAAAAAUUUUCUAUGAGAAAAAAUUCUUGUAGUUGUGAGGGUUAAAUGAGUUAAUACUUAACAGAUGAGGAGACAGAGAAAAUACAUUACCCAGGAUUGUGCAAGGUGCUACCAGAAUUUCCAGAGACUGUGAGUUUAACCACAACUCUCAGAAACAUUGGUCAAUAGAAUAUCACAUGUAAGAUGAAAUGCUGCAAGAAAGAGUUCUAUUUACGAGGCUGGAUGGGAGAAGAUACGACAGGAAACAUGGCAGUAAUUUUAUGGUACAUCACACCUUACAUGACCACAGUUCAAAUGUCAAAUGCUUCUUUUCAUGCUUUUAGCUCUUUCAAUGAGACCUGGUUUACUCACAUUUGCUCACCCUUCAAUAAAAUGUGUAUGUUCAGCACAUCCUGCUAUUGGUAAGUUUGCUUUUCCAAAUAAAAAUGUAUUUUGAGGGCCGGGAGCGGUGGCUCACACCUGUAAUCCCAGCACUUUGGGAGGCCGAGGAGGGCGGAUCACCUGAGUUCAGGAGAUAGAGACCAGCCUGGCUAACAUGGUGACACCCUGUCUCUACUAAAAGUACAAAAAAAAUAAAAAAUGAAAAAUUAGCCAGUCAUGGUGGCACAUGCCUGUAGUGCCAGCUACUUGGAGGUGGAGGCAGGAGAACUGCUUGAACCAGGGAGGUGGAGGUUGCAGUAAGCCAAGACUGCACCACUGCACUCCAGCCUGGGCGGCAGAGCGAGACUCCAUCUAAAAAAAAAAACAAGAAACAAAACAAAACAAAAAAGACGUGUUUUUGGUGAGAACUUACUUGUUUUUCACUCUCUUGAAAAUAUGGUGAAAAUGGAUUGAAUUGGAUUGUGUGUCAUCGUAACAAUAGAACAUUUUAUGGAAUAAAAUAUUUGAUUCUUACUUUAAAAACUUUUCAAGAAUACUUAAAACUAAAUUUACCUAUAUGUAGCUAGUACACCAUUUUAUUUACAACUACUUUUUAUCUACCUAUCUAAGCACAUCUAGCAGUGUUCCUACUUGGUAACACUCUCAGCUCCUUGUUCCUAUUAUAUUCCUAAAAGAAAUAAAAAGUCAUACUUUGGAAAUAGCUUAUGAUUCAGAUUCCCACAGUUACUUCUCCUUCUCUAACCCCACACUUGAGUAAUUUAACCUAAUUCAUUUUCAGAAUUUCGUCUGUUUUUGGUGUUUAGUUAUUUUUCGAAAAUUAUCAAAUCCAGAGGAAACUAUUUCCAGAAGUUUAUAAGUAAUCAUAAAUAUAAGUGAAAUAUUGUUGAAGUCUGUCUUCUAUGAGCACUUUGGAAAAUGUUAGUUUUUCUUUUACACUAACAUUUUUGUUAGAUUAGACAUUGUGGAUUGAACUUGAUUCCGGGCAAUGGGACUAUUAAAUGGCAUGGGAAAUAAAUCUCUGAAAAGGAUCAGAAAUUUGGGUCCUGAAAAUGUUAGUACCAUGAAUUGAAUACUUAUGAUUACCUUGAACUGUAUAUAGGAUAUAUCCUUUCUCCUUGGUGACCAUAACUAUUUGUUUUUACUUGUAUGUUUUACUUCUAAUUGCUUUUAGCAAUUGUUCGAUAGAACAAUCACAGCUAGAAAAAUAUUUCAUCAUUGGCAGAUGAAUGCCUUUUUAAUAUGAAAGUUUUCUGAAGCUCUUCAGAAGAGAUUUGCAUCUUUCUACUUUAACAGAAAAUCUAUCUUUAAGCAUAGGAAUAAUAAAUUGUGAGUAAUCAGAUGUGCAUGUUUUAUCAACAUUCUUUACCUUUUAUGAUAAUGAAGAAGAAUAGAAUUCAUUGGGAUAAAUUUCCCUAUUUCCUUUAGGCCUGAUUACAGUCAAAAAUUUCUGCUUCAAGCUUUACCCGUGUCAUUUAAUAGAGAAUACAAUGACCCUCGUGUUCAAUGUCGAGUGCAGAACAUCUAGAAAAUCAGUUUAAAAAUUUAGUAAAGACUGACUGCUGGAACGUCAGUACUUCCCAAAGCAGUCAGGAAAAACCCCAAUCUACGUCAGACCCUAAUACUUAUUAGAACAUGACACGAAUGUGGUCACUUUUGCUUGUUUACUGUUGAAAUGCAGUUUACUAAAAUUUGAAAUUACUAAAUGUUUCUUACCUGGCUAGUUAUAGAGGUUAAAAGGAAAAUAGAACCUGAAAAUAAAAGGCAAGAGGAACAUGGAGAAAACAAAUUAAAAGAGCAGAAGUAUGUAAACAACACGUUAAGUCCGCCUGUCUCUACAUUGUUUUAUUAAGUAGUGAAUUUUUUGUUCUCUAGAUUCAGGAGGGGGCUUGGAUGAUGCAAACAAGAUCUGCUCGGUAGAACCAAAUGAAAAACAGACAAAAUAA